rnacentral:rRNA from 1 species
UACGUAGGUGGCAAGCGUUGUCCGGAUUUACUGGGCGUAAAGAGCGCGCAGGCGGUCGAAUAAGUCGAAUGUGAAAGCCCCCGGCUUAACUGGGGAGGGUCAUUCGAUACUGCUCGACUUGAAGGCAGGAGAGGGUAGUGGAAUUCCUGGUGUAGCGGUGAAAUGCGCAGAUAUCAGGAGGAACACCAAUAGCGAAGGCAGCUCGCUGGGACGGUACUGACGCUAAGGCGCGAAAGCGUGGGGAGCGAACAGG